GGGUGAGCAAGCCCGGCAGAGUGGAGGAUCUUCUGGUGCGACCGCAGGUCUGAGCAGGUUGGCGGCAGCUAGCAGAGAUUAGUGAGAGAGAGAGAAGCGGCUCCGCUCACCUGCUGUGGAGAGACGCCGGUGAGAUAACAGACAGCGUCGGCGCUGAGGUCCGGAGCCUAAGCGGCAGCAGUAGUUAGAUGGCACCCGGAGAUCGCAGGUAGUUUAUGCGCAUCCCUGCACUGCUGUUAGGCUGGGAACAGGAAGGAGGAAGAGAGUCGGUCGGGGGAGAGCCAGAUGACUGCAUAGCAACCGCGGCUAGUAAGCCAUAGAAUAUCAGCAAGUCAUGUAAUCGAUCAGUGAAGAGUCAUCUCUCAAUGAGAGAGAAUGGAGAGAAGAAAGAAAAGGAGAAAGAGGAAAAAGAAAAAAAAAAGGGGGAAGAGGGGUGAAUAGAGCGAGAAAGAGAGGAGGGGGAAGGAUCGCCUGCGGCCCAAUGACUCCCAGUCAGGUAAGUAUUUUAUCCCAAUUGAAUGGGAGGGUCUGUUUUUUACAUUUAUUAACUCCCCACCCACUGCCCAUGAGGUGGGCAGUGGGUGGGAUCCCACACUGUGGUUCCCCGUUAUAGUGCACCAGCACUGACUGUUAAUGUCUAGAGACGGUAAUGGAAACCUCGGGAACCCCCACUCUUUGUACCCCCAAUUCUUCCAAUACCAGUGUUAUGAGUGCUUACCGUGACUUUGAAUUUACAGAACCCACUUCUCCUAUAACAGCCCCCUUUCCUGGAACUAUAAUUGGAUGUCAGGACUUCAAUUCUUAGUAGUGUAAGCUCAAGAUCACAGACACAUUUAAAGAGAACAGGACACCUUAGAGAUUACUAAAACUUUAUACAGAAAACAGCAUGCCAGGUCUUUUAUAUAGCACUAAUUAAUGUUUUGCUGGACAAUUCUCUCACAUAAUAUAAGUCUUUUUCAAAAUAGAGAAUUACUGAGAAGUAA